rnacentral:rRNA from 1 species
GAUCAUGGCUCAGGAUGAACGCUAGCGGCAGGCUUAACACAUGCAAGUCGGAGGGGCAGCGGGGUGUAGCAAUACACUGCCGGCGACCGGCGCACGGGUGCGUAACGCGUAUGCAACCUACCCAUAACAGGGGCAUAACACUGAGAAAUUGGUACUAAUUCCCCAUAACAUUCGAAGAGGCAUCUCUUUGGGUUUGAAAACUCCGGUGGUUAUGGAUGGGCAUGUCGUUGUAUUAG